GGAGAGAUGGCUCAGUGGUUAAGAGCACUGGCUGCUCUUCCAGAGGUCCUGAGUUCAAAUCUCAGCACCC
rnacentral:tRNA from 1 species